GCAGGGCGCAGCUAUACAUGCAGUCGAACGAGUUCUUGUUGAUGAUCGGUGCUUGCACCGAGAUUCAACAUGGAACGAGUGGCGGACGGGUGAGUAACACGUGGGUAACCUGCCCUUAAGUGGGGGAUAACAUUUGGAAACAGAUGCUAAUACCGCAUAGAUCCAAGAACCGCAUGGUUCUUGGCUGAAAGAUGGCGUAAGCUAUCGCUUUUGGAUGGACCCGCGGCGUAUUAGCUAGUUGGUGAGGUAAUGGCUCACCAAGGCGAUGAUACGUAGCCGAACUGAGAGGUUGAUCGGCCACAUUGGGACUGAGACACGGCCCAAACUCCUACGGGAGGCAGCAGUAGGGAAUCUUCCACAAUGGACGCAAGUCUGAUGGAGCAACGCCGCGUGAGUGAAGAAGGCUUUCGGGUCGUAAAACUCUGUUGUUGGAGAAGAAUGGUCGGCAGAGUAACUGUUGUCGGCGUGACGGUAUCCAACCAGAAAGCCACGGCUAACUACGUGCCAGCAGCCGCGGUAAUACGUAGGUGGCAAGCGUUAUCCGGAUUUAUUGGGCGUAAAGCGAGCGCAGGCGGUUUUUUAAGUCUGAUGUGAAAGCCCUCGGCUUAACCGAGGAAGCGCAUCGGAAACUGGGAAACUUGAGUGCAGAAGAGGACAGUGGAACUCCAUGUGUAGCGGUGAAAUGCGUAGAUAUAUGGAAGAACACCAGUGGCGAAGGCGGCUGUCUGGUCUGUAACUGACGCUGAGGCUCGAAAGCAUGGGUAGCGAACAGGAUUAGAUACCCUGCUAGUCCAUGCCGUAAACGAUGAAUGCUAGGUGUUGGGAGGGUUUCCGCCCUUCAGUGCCGCAGCUAACGCAUUAAGAAUUCAGCCUGGGGAGUACGACCGCAAGGUUGAAACUCAAAGGAAUUGAACGGGGGCCCGCACAAGCGGUGGAAGCAUGUGGUUUAAUUCGAAACAACGCGAGAACCCUUACCAGUCUGUCUUCUUUUGAUCCC
rnacentral:rRNA from 2 species